GCGAAAGCCUGAUCCAGCAAUACCGCGUGUGUGAAGAAGGCCUUAGGGUUGUAAAGCACUUUCAAUUGGGAGGAAAACCUGCCGGUCAAUACCCGGUAGCUUGACAUUACCUUUAGAAGAAGCACCGGCUAACUCCGUGCCAGCAGCCGCGGUAAUACGGAGGGUGCGAGCGUUAAUCGGAAUUACUGGGCGUAAAGCGUGCGUAGGCGGUUCGUUAAGUCAGAUGUGAAAGCCCUGGGCUCAACCUGGGAACUGCAUUUGAAACUGGCGGGCUAGAGUUUAGUAGAGGGGAGUGGAAUUUCAGGUGUAGCGGUGAAAUGCGUAGAUAUCUGAAGGAACACCAGUGGCGAAGGCGACUCCCUGGACUAGAACUGACGCUGAGGUAC
rnacentral:rRNA from 1 species